ACGAACGCUGGCGGCAUGCCUAACCCAUGCAAGUCGAACGAGACCUUCGGGUCUAGUGGCGCACGGGUGCGUAACGCGUGGGAACCUGCCCUUAGGUUCGGAAUAACUCCCCGAAAGGGGUGCUAAUACCGGAUAAUGUCUUCGGACCAAAGAUUUAUCGCCUUUGGAUGGGCCCGCGUUGGAUUAGCUAGUUGGUAGGGUAAAAGCCUACCAAGGCGACGAUCCAUAGCUGGUCUGAGAGGAUGAUCAGCCACACUGGGACUGAGACACGGCCCAGACUCCUACGGGAGGCAGCAGUGGGGAAUAUUGGACAAUGGGCGAAAGCCUGAUCCAGCAAUGUCGCGUGAGUGAUGAAGGCCUUAGGGUUGUAAAGCUCUUUUACCCGGGAUGAUAAUGACAGUACCGGGAGAAUAAGCUCCGGCUAACUCCGUG
rnacentral:rRNA from 1 species